rnacentral:rRNA from 1 species
GGGCUACCAUGCAGUCGAGCGCCCCGCAGGGGGAGCGGCAGACGGGUGAGUAACGCGUGGGAAUCUACCCAUCACUACGGAACAACUCCGGGAAACUGGAGCUAAUACCGUAUACGUCCUUCGGGAGAAAGAUUUAUCGGUGAUGGAUGAGCCCGCGUUGGAUUAGCUAGUUGGUGGGGUAAUGGCCUACCAAGGCGACGAUCCAUAGCUGGUCUGAGAGGAUGAUCAGCCACACUGGGACUGAGACACGGCCCAGACUCCUACGGGAGGCAGCAGUGGGGAAUAUUGGACAAUGGGCGCAAGCCUGAUCCAGCCAUGCCGCGUGAGUGAUGAAGGCCCUAGGGUUGUAAAGCUCUUUCAACGGUAAAGAUAAUGACGGUAACCGUAAAAAAAGCCCCGGCUAACUUCGUGCCAGCGCCCCCGGGUAUAAUAACCAAGGGAUCGAGG